GAUGAACGCUGGCGGCGUGCCUAAUACAUGCAAGUCGAGCGAACAGGCGAGGAGCUUGCUCCUCUGACGUUAGCGGCGGACGGGUGAGUAACACGUGGAUAACCUACCUAUAAGACUGGGAUAACUUCGGGAAACCGGAGCUAAUACCGGAUAAUAUAUUGAACCGCAUGGUUCAAUAGUGAAAGACGGUUUUGCUGUCACUUAUAGAUGGAUCCGCGCCGCAUUAGCUAGUUGGUAAGGUAACGGCUUACCAAGGCAACGAUGCGUAGCCGACCUGAGAGGGUGAUCGGCCACACUGGAACUGAGACACGGUCCAGACUCCUACGGGAGGCAGCAGUAGGGAAUCUUCCGCAAUGGGCGAAAGCCUGACGGAGCAACGCCGCGUGAGUGAUGAAGGUCUUCGGAUCGUAAAACUCUGUUAUUAGGGAAGAACAAAUGUGUAAGUAACUAUGCACGUCUGGACGGUACCUAAUCAGAAAGCCACGGCGAACUACGU
rnacentral:rRNA from 1 species